AGCGCUCUUCCCUUUGACCCAAUCACCAACAGCGACUCUCUCCACUUCAGCAGCUCUAACAGGCCUCUGGUGACAGAGUGUCCUUCCCUGGAAAACACUGCUGAAAAUGGCAAGAAAAGGAAAAGAACUAGUCUUCUUCCAGAUUUAAUCCCCAGAGGUGGAGAUAAGGUAGUCUACCUGGGGAGAAUCUGCGCAUGACCCAUCUUUAUUUCAGUCUUACCUCUGGUGAUUUCAAUUAUGUAAGGUAAAUAAUGUUUCUCACCACUCAGCAACAGUUUUGACCUUGUGAGUGCCAUCCCUUUAAAUCUUGAACAAAUAAAGGUUUACUAUUACAGGCA